CUACUGCUUUUAGUCUCUCUCUCUUUUUUAAUUCUUUUUAUUUUCCAUCUUUCCUGAAACGAGGAUUAGUUUUGAUAGGUGGGGGAAUAGCAGCCCCCUUCUCCAGCAAGCUCAUUGGUUGUAAUGAGCUAAGUUUCCAUGUAGAGAAAGCAUCUGUGGUGCUGCUGUGUGCAGUCUCUUAAGUCUUACAUGAGCUACAAAAUUACUUGCACAGUCUGGGCUCCUAACAGCCUUAGAGCAAAUUUUCAGAUUGAAUUUUGAAAGGCUGCUGAUUAGGAAUGUUUUGGUGUGAUAUUUUGAACUUAGAGUUUUGAGUUUAGUUGUGUUGAAGUCAGCAAGGAUUGGUAUCUGUCCUCUCUUCCCCACCCCUUUACAAGUGGGGGGAGGGUGAGAGCAGCUGCUGCUUGAUUAGUUUCACCUGUGUGGGGAGAGGGAGUGGCAUUUAAGGUAUAUUAAGUAGAUGAGGGAGCAAACAGCACCUGAUCUUGUGGAGGUUUGCUCGUGAGCAGAGGUUGUGCCAGCAGCUCCUCUAGGAGCUGUGGGUGUGCUUUUCAUGGGCCACGAGAGGAGGUGAAGCAACCUGCUUUGAAGAGUGGAAAGGAGCGCUUUGCCUAGUUUGGAAGACUGGUGACAUGAAAGGUAGAUACUUCUGGGCUGUCAGAGGAAGGAAGCUCAGUUAUUUCAGAGCGUGCGCCCUCAGUGAACUGCUGUACAAACAACCCAUCUGGAGCUUGAUCCUGGAUUGAACCUGCUCUGUAACCCAAGGAAACUAAAAGGCUUUUUUGGAUGCCCUUGGAAAUUUCCUGAGCUUGACACACCUCUUCACAACACAACAGGUAACUAGUCCAGUCCUGCCUGGUCUUACGUACAUUGCAGCAGAGCUGAGGAAGUGGCACAAUGCCCAGGAUGCUAUGGCAGUUUCUAAAACUGAUCAAAAUAGUCCCAAAAUAUCCUCAGGGCUGUUCAGGGUAAGAUGGUCUCAAAGUUCAGAGAAUGAUAGAAAUGUCUAAUUGUGUAUGCUCAGUACCUGCCAAACCACUUCCUUAGAUUUUGUACAACAAGGGAGCUCCUCUCAUCAAGGUCUUAAUAAAACCAGACCUAUCUUUAAAAGAUCUCUGAAAACUGGAGGAAAAUGGACUUUUCUUCUACUGCAGCUUGAACGAAUUUGGAUUCAGUUUUGCUGUCUUUGAUGGAUAGACACGUUGUUAUCCUGUGGCCCAUGUCUGGCCACUUGAGUUUGACUGAAAAUGAGGAAUUUUAUCUUCAUUAUGAAGGUGAGUUAAAAUGUGGAAUGCCAUCAGACCAGACUCUAUCAGUAGUUUAAAGGAAAGAAAAGGAAAGUUUCUUUUGCUCUGGUACAGGAAUGAGGCCUUUUCUUGCAGUAGACAGAUAAAGGCAAUAACCAAACUCCAAAUUUGGAUUUGGAUAUGCCAUCAAUCCUGCUUGAUAUAGUUCUGUCCUGAGUACCACUUGGAAUAGGUGAUUCAAGCUGAUGAUUUCUCUAUGGAGCUGGUGCGUUGAAAGGAAGGUCCAUGUGUACAUCUGGAAUGAAAACAAAACAAAACUAUGGAGCACCCAUUUGUAUUUCCAUAGUUCGCUGGCUCUUCCUACUUCAAAAUCCCCUUUUCUUUCCAGGUUUCAGUGCUUCAAGGAAUAUGCUGGUAUAUUGUUAUCUUUGUGGAGAUAGCUUCUUUAUCUGUUGUUUUGCACUUUUUUUUUUUUUUUGGUGUUUUUGCCUUUGUUUUAACCUUUCCCAAGGAUAUCAGAACGUAACAAUACUUUGUUGUUAUAACAACAAUAUUCUUAUAUUUCCACAAGGAAGAGGUUUUUAUUAAAAACAAAACAAAACAAAAAAAAAACAAAAACAAAAAACAAAACAACAAAAAACCCACACAAAAAUACAGCUUUAGAUAAUGGUUGUUUUGAACUGUACAUUCUAUAAGAUGCACAUUUUGUAAGUUACAUUCAUCUUUUGCAUACUUGUGUUCUCAGUGUGCUAGUACUGUGGCUUUCAUUAGUUUUCCUUCUUUUAGGGUCACUAGGAAGAUUUUUUUCCUAUCUCCUUCAGUCCUGCUUUAUGUAUUUUCACGUAGGAAGCAAAUUUUGCUUUGUUUCUGAAUUUGAAGGACGUUUGGAACAAACACGUUGUUUAGUCUAUGGAAUAUCUUUUACUAUGACUCUUUUCUAUACUUCUUUUUCACCGUCUCUCUUCUUCCUGAACUCCCAGCUCCUGCUGCUAGCAAUAUGCCCUUUAAAAUCUCAAAUACUUUCCAAGCGAGAAGAAAAGUGAAGGAAAUUACAGGUCUUUUGAAGGUAGUUGAAGUCAUAUGGGAAAACAGCUUGUAGGGCCUGGAAAAAGAGGGUCAAAACAUGGAAAGAAGAGUCUUCUUUCACAUUUAUUGUGUUGGUGUGCCUAAGGUAUUCAGUAAAUGAGACGCUGAUGAAAUCUUUUGAACUGUGGAAGGCUUAUUGGACUUCCAUUUCUGAAGUUCACAGUUCAAGGUUUUCCAUAUGAAUUCUAAUACAAAUGCUCAGCUUAAACUUACGAUACACCUGCUUAUGUGUAUUUCAUGAACUCAGCUGCAGUGUUUCCAAGAACAAUGAUUCAAUUAGCAGAAGUGCAUGUACCCCUUCAGAUACUGAGGAAGCAAACCAGCUAGCUUAUUUUGAAAUGAUAAAUGAGUUAACUUACCAAACAAUGAGCAGGAAUUUAACUUCAGAUUCUGUAAGCCCACAGUAGGUAAAGGAAUCUUUUUUUUUUUAGGUUUCGCAGAUCUGUUAUCACAGAUGUUCUUAACCUAAAUAUAUGGAUAUCCAAAAAUAGGUACUGUUUAAAAUAUGUAUAAACUUCCUUUAUUUAUGUCUAACACUGAUUGCAUUUUGCUACCAGGUUUCAAGCAUCUGUAAGUGGUAACUGCAGACCUUCCUGUACACCCCUGCUGCUCUGCCAUGACUUCUAGGGCGGCAGGAUAGCUGAGGCCUGCUUUUUGUUCCACAUGUAAAUGUUUUGUAAAGACAGGUGGUGAUUGUAUUUGGAAGGAUUUCCCAUUUUAAGCUGGGUUUAUUCUGAUACUGUCCACAAUGAAUUUACAUUGGCUGCGACAUGACCUUCAUAAAGGUAGUAUCUAGCCUAAGGCUUUACAGGUGAAGAGUUACUAGUCAGGAGAAAUGGUCUGCAAACACAGAACUUUGCAAUAGUUUAUCCUCUUUUCCUCACCUUUAUGUGUGAUAGGAAUGACAAGGCACGACUUGGGCAGUCUGUGAAGUUCUCUGUUUAUCACGUUGUGAGUGCGCACUUGAGCACUGGGCUGCUAGAACUUCAGCUGUGUAUUUCUGCGGAUGUUCCUGGUUACCCCUUCCUCCCUGCCUGUUUCUCUUUAUGUGAACUGCUGUCACGUCUUGUGCAAGGACUCUGCAGUUGUUUUCCUGAAAUUAUGGCAGGGUUGUUGCCUGAAUAUAAUCUAUAGUCAAGGGAAUAUGGUGAAUGUCCUCAUCUAUCAGCACCACAUAUUGGUUUUGGUUUGACGACUUCUUUCUUCUUCUGUAUCUAACAUAAAAAGCAGGACUCAUCUCAUCUAACUUCAGAUGGUUGUAGGAAGGUUUCCAAUGUAAGCUAGUGGUUGAGAACUUUCAGUGUAUAGAGAGUGGUAUCUCCAGCUAGUGGCCCAAUCUGGAUAGAGGGACUUCUUACUGACAUUACGUACAAUUCUAAUUAUUAACGUAGUCAGAAUUGAAACUCAGCAGAGUGGUGCAAACACACAGAUUUCAGUAGGAGUUCUGCGUUAAUUGUGCAGAUAGGACCUUCCAUCCAUAGGUCCUAUAAGAAGAUGGACAAAUAAAAGAAAAAUAAUAUUUGAUCUGGUUAGCUUAAUUCUGAGAUUUUAGUGCAGAAAGAAGAGAGGAAACUCGAGGCACUCACCAGAUCAGAUGUUACUGCCCUCAUUUGUUAACAUGCCUCCUCAAAUGGAAUUAAUGAAACCUUCCAUUAUAGAUCAAUACGCUCUUUGACUAGAGAAUAUUAUGGGUACCUAUUGUAUAUGCUUAAUUAGAUUGAAAUUGCUUUCACAUUUCCUUUAUAUCCAAAAAAAAACCCUGAUUUCAGCAGUUUGAAAAAGGGAAUUACAAAAGUCAUCCCCUCCACUGUGCUGCUGAAGCCAGCAGGAGAAGGG
ensembl:lncRNA